rnacentral:rRNA from 1 species
UGGGGGAUAUUGCACAAUGGGCGAAAGCCUGAUGCAGCGACGCCGCGUGGGGGAUGAAGGCCUUCGGGUUGUAAACUUCUUUUGCUCUGAACAAGGCGCACCAUGGGGUGUGUUGAGUGUAGGGGUUGAUUAGCGCCGGCUAACUACGUGCCAGCAGCCGCGGUAAUACGUAGGGCGCGAGCGUUGUCCGGAAUUAUUGGGCGUAAAGGGCUUGUAGGUGGCUGGUUGCGUCUGUCGUGAAAGCUCAUGGCUUAACUGUGGGGUUGCGGUGGGUACGGGCUGGCUUGAGUGCAGUAGGGGAGGGUGGAAUUCCUGGUGUAGCGGUGGAAUGCGCAGAUAUCAGGAGGAAUACCGGUGGCGAAGGCGGGUCUCUGGGCUGUUACUGACACUGAGGAGCGAAAGCAUGGGGAGCGAACAGG